AACGAACGCUGGCGGCAGGCCUAACACAUGCAAGUCGAACGCCCUAGCAAUAGGGAGUGGCAGACGGGUGAGUAACGCGUGGGAACGUACCCUUCGGUUCGGAAUAACCCAGGGAAACUUGGACUAAUACCGGAUACGUGCGAGAGCAGAAAGAUUUAUCGCCGAAGGAUCGGCCCGCGUCCGAUUAGCUAGUUGGUGAGGUAAUGGCUCACCAAGGCGACGAUCGGUAGCUGGUCGAGAGGAUGAUCAGCCACACUGGGACUGAGACACGGCCCAGACUCCUACGGGAGGCAGCAGUGGGGAAUAUUGGACAAUGGGCGCAAGACCUGAUCCAGCGAUGCCGCGUGUGUGAAG
rnacentral:rRNA from 1 species